rnacentral:misc_RNA from 1 species
CAACCCUCAAGCCCCGCUUGGUGAUGGGCCCCGCCCGCGGGCGGGCCCGAAACUCGCAGGCGCCUCCGUCCGGCCUCAAGCGUAGCAAAACCCUCGCUUGGGUGUCCGGUCGGCGGCCGCCCCGAAACAAAUCUAUCACAA